AUGAUAAGAGGAGGAAACUUGUGGGAAGGGGCAGAGUCCAGAGAAGGUUUGGUUUGUUUGUUUAUUUUUAAAGACUUCAUCUACCUGAGGAGGCAGAAGAAGAGAUCACUGGUCUGGAGAAAUCAAAGAUUCAAGAAGGAAUGGAAGGAGCAAGGAAGUAAGGAUUUGGAAGGGUUCAUGAUCAAGAGUAAAGGUGAAGGACAUGACUUUGCCAGAAGGAGAGACAUUCAUUUCGUCCUGGAGCCAAAGAUUGAAAGAACUACUAUCAAUGCCUCUUACAAAAUGAGGUCAUUGGAUUGCAGAGUUGGCCUUCAAGAAGAUUUUGUGGCCUUUCUCAGCUGUCUAGGUGCUGUGUUUCUAUGGCUGCAAGGAUGAUGGUUAAAGGUAACAUGGAUGAGGGAGGCUUAUGAGGCAUGUUUUGUUUGUUAUAUAAAACAAGGCUCACAAAUGCAGCAAUAAGGGC
rnacentral:lncRNA from 10 species